GUCCGGGGGCUCCGCAGCUCAGCGUAACACCGACCUGCAAAGAUGUACAAACAAACGGUCAGGCUGAUCCAUGCCACACCGGAGCACGGACUGUCCGUCCUCAGACUGCACCUCUGUCUUCGUCGGCUUGUGCUCUAUGGUCGGGGGCUGACCAGGCAGCGUGUCGGGCAUCUGCAUGAAGAACAGCUCCUCCCCUUUGCUCAGACUCCAUCUAUGCAGCAGGGCCCUGCUCAAAGAUAGAGUGGGACUGGAUGACCUCUGGACGACCCCGGCCCCUGCCUCUAUCUCUCGGACCUCGACCGCGAC